rnacentral:rRNA from 1 species
GAAUAUUGGACAAUGGGCGAAAGCCUGAACCAGCCAUGCCGCGUGUGUGAAGAAGGUCUUCGGAUUGUAAAGCUCUUUAAGUUGGGCGGAAGGGCAGUAAGCGAAUACCUUGCUGUUGUGACGUUACCGCCAGAAUAAGCACCGGCUACCUCUGUGCCAGCUGCCGCGGUAAUACAGAGGGUGCAAGCGUUAAUGGGAAUUACUGGGCGUCAAGCGCGCGUAGGUGGUUCGUUAAGUUGGAUGUGAAAUCCCCGGGCUCAACCGGGGAACUGCAUCCAAAACUGGCGAGCUAGAGUAGGGCAGAGGGUGGUGGAAUUUCCCGUGUAGCGGUGAAAUGCGUAGAUAUAGGAAGGAACACCAGUGGCGAAGGCGACCACCUGGGCUCAUACUGACACUGAGGUGCGAAAGCGUGGGGAGCAAACA